AGACCUUCGGAGUGUUGUGCUGCGACAAGGGAGGACAUGUUUGUUUGACAAGGUGCACGGUGACGUCAUCGCAACAGGAAGCGAAGGCCACGCCCCCUCAGCCACAAGUCAGCAUUCACGAGGACCACCAGCGCAGACAUGAAUCGGCUACUCGUGAGCGUGCUGAUGGCCGCUUUGAGUCUCGGAAACGGACAGGAAAUGGUGCGGCAGCCAAAAGGCCACGUCCACGCCGUGGAGGGCGAAAAGGUGACCCUCAACUGCAGCUUCGAGAGCACAGGGAGCAACGACUACAUCUUCUGGUACAAACAGGAACCGAACGCAGCACCUGAUCUUGUUUUGAGAGUCUCGAAGUUCGCGCAGGCCAAGACGGAGAAGAAGUACGCCGACAGGUUUCGCUCCAUCAUGAACACCAGCACCCUGCGAGCUCCUCUGCACAUCGAGAGCGUGAAACCGAGCGACUCUGGAGUCUACCACUGCGCCCUGCAGCCCACGCUGACACAUUCGCUGGGGUGCCCGUACAAAAACUCCUGCACCCGCCUCACUCCACGUCACGUUGUGGGCGGGGUCUCGCCGGAGGAGACGAGUCAGGUCUUGAAAACACGCAAACCCGACAGCGGUUACAUUGACAAAAACAGAAAUCCAAAGUACCUCCCUAAUGCCCACUAGUAUGAACACAGUUGUCACCGGCCGAGUUCAAAAACCCAAUAAAGACCCGACACAACUAGCCAGCGUGUAAACUGUGGCAGCAGGCUAAUGCGGCUCCUUUCGAGUGCCUCGUUGUCACGGUGCAGAAAAGCCAGAUGAUGGCCCAAAGGGAUCGUGACUGGACACCGGAGGCUUUUAGCGGCUUUUAUUUGAAGACUCAGACGUUGAACCAUGUUGGCGUAAGAAAGACGCUCAAUGAUGUUGCAUCCGAUAACAUAAUUCACAAUGUUUUUUUACAUGCA